rnacentral:rRNA from 1 species
AGCAGCCGCCGCGGGAAUACCAGCAGCCCAAGUGGUGGUCGCGCUUAUUGGGCCUAAAGCGCUCGUAGCCUGGCCGGUAAGUUCCCCGUGAAAUCGGGUCGCCCAACGAUUCGGCUUGCGGGGAAUACUGUCGGUCUUGGGGCCGGGAGACGCCGAGGGUACUCCGGGGGUAGCGGUGAAAUGCUGUAAUCCUCGGGGGACUACCAGUGGCGAAGGCGCUCGGCGAUAACGGGCCUGACGGUGAGGGGCGAAAGCUGGGGGCGCGAACGGGAUUAGAUACCCCCGUAGUCCCUGUCUCUUAUA